GUGCUCACUUUGGCAGCACAUAUACUAAAAUUGGAAUGAUACCGAGAAGAUUAGCAUGGCCCCUGUGCAAAGAUGAGAGACAAAUUUGUGAAGCAUUGCAUAUUUUA